GGUUAAGUGAAUAAGGGCGCACGGUGGAUGCCUUGGCACUAGGAGCCGAUGAAGGACGGGACUAACACCGAUAUGCUUUGGGGAGCUGUAAGUAAGCUAUGAUCCAGAGAUUUCCGAAUGGGGGAACCCAAUAUCUUUUAUAGGAUAUUACUUUUCAGUGAAUACAUAGCUGAUUAGAGGUAGACGCAGAGAACUGAAACAUCUUAGUACCUGCAGGAAGAGAAAGAAAAUUCGAUCCCCUGAGUAGCGGCGAGCGAAACGGGAAGAGCCCAAACCAACAAGCUUGCUUGUUGGGGUUGUAGGACUCCAAUAUGGUAGUCUGUUAGUAUAGUUGAAGGAUUUGGAAAAUUCCGCUAAAGAGGGUGAAAGCCCCGUAGACGAAAUGCUAACAACACCUAGGAGGAUCCUGAGUACGGCGGAACACGAGAAAUUCCGUCGGAAUCCGCGGGGACCAUCCCGCAAGGCUAAAUACUCCCUAGUGACCGAUAGUGAACCAGUACCGUGAGGGAAAGGUGAAAAGCACCCCGGAAGGGGAGUGAAAUAGAUCCUGAAACCGUGUGCCUACAACAAGUCAAAGCUCGUUAAUGAGUGAUGGCGUGCCUUUUGUAGAAUGAACCGGCGAGUUACGAUUGCAUGCGAGGUUAAGUCGAAGAGACGGAGCCGCAGCGAAAGCGAGUCUGAAUAGGGCGAAUGAGUAUGUAGUCGUAGACCCGAAACCAUGUGAUCUACCCAUGUCCAGGUUGAAGGUGCGGUAAAACGCACUGGAGGACCGAACCCACGUACGUUGAAAAGUGCGGGGAUGAGGUGUGGGUAGCGGAGAAAUUCCAAACGAACUUGGAGAUAGCUGGUUCUCUCCGAAAUAGCUUUAGGGCUAGCCUCGGAAUUGAGAAUGAUGGAGGUAGAGCACUGUUUGGACUAGGGGCCCAUCUCGGGUUACCGAAUUCAGAUAAACUCCGAAUGCCAUUCAUUUAUAUCCGGGAGUCAGACUGCGAGUGAUAAGAUCCGUAGUCGAAAGGGAAACAGCCCAGACCACCAGCUAAGGUCCCAAAAUAUAUGUUAAGUGGAAAAGGAUGUGGGGUUGCACAGACAACUAGGAUGUUGGCUUAGAAGCAGCCACCAUUUAAAGAGUGCGUAAUAGCUCACUAGUCGAGUGACCCUGCGCCGAAAAUGUACCGGGGCUAAACAUAUUACCGAAGCUGUGGACUACACCAUUAGGUGUAGUGGUAGGAGAGCGUUCUAAGGGCGUUGAAGGUCGAUCGUGAGGACGGCUGGAGCGCUUAGAAGUGAGAAUGCCGGUAUGAGUAGCGAAAGACAGGUGAGAAUCCUGUCCACCGUAUGACUAAGGUUUCCUGGGGAAGGCUCGUCCGCCCAGGGUUAGUCGGGACCUAAGCCGAGGCCGAUAGGCGUAGGCGAUGGACAACAGGUUGAUAUUCCU
rnacentral:rRNA from 1 species